AGAGAAGAGAGAGAGAGAGAGAGAGAAAAUGAGAGAGAUGACAAGGGUGGAAGAACGGUGAAGAACGAUGUUCCAAGACGAGCUUUCUCCACCGGUCUCAAGGCGCUUUUUCAUUAAAAUCCACCUCGUUCUAAUUAACAAUUCUCGAACAAUCCUCCAAUUCCAGUCGAACCUUUCAUCCCCUCGAAGAGACCGUCCCCUUGAAUACCUUUCGAGGUAUCCGCCCCCAACGAGAUAUCACAAUUGAAAGGAAGACAUUUUAUUAUCGACGCCUUGCAACCUCUACGAAGAAGGCUCGUUUCUCUUCGCGACGAAGAGACUCUUCUCGCGCUUGAACGAGAGAAAGACUCGUGGACUCGUCGAAUCGUUUCAACAAAUUACAAUUUUUUUCUUACAGCCUUUCGAUUUCGGUUGAAAUUAAGAUUUCUUUUUCUUUUAUUCCCCCCCCCCUUCCCCCCUUCCCCCCCUCCAACGAGUCUUUCGAGAAGAAAAGACGCGAUGCGCGAAAGAAAGUUGGUCGUGGCUCGUCGAAGAAAUCGGUUGUUUGGUCGCGAACUAACUUGAAGGAGGCGUGCAGCUCCUGACGAAGGGUCAACGGCCUGUUCUCCUGCGUGGGCGUGUUCUGGGGCGUGCCAGGCCCACUUCCGGAACCCCUCUUCUUCAGAACGCUCUUCAAAGGGACCGCGUGAAACUUAGGCUCCUUCGCGGGGAUCUCCUCCACCCUGGACGUGUCGAUGCUCGGAUCAGGCUGCGACAUCCUCGGCACGUACAUGUUGUCCUCCUCCUCCACGUCGAAGUCCUC